rnacentral:rRNA from 1 species
AUUGAACGCUGGCGGCAGGCCUAACACAUGCAAGUCGAGCGCGCGGCGGACGGGUGAGUAAUGUAUGGGGAUCUGCCCGAUAGAGGGGGAUAACUACUGGAAACGUUGGCUAAUACCGCAUACUAUCGGCUGAACCCAUAUGGGCUUCGCUAGUGGGUGGGGGAAAGGCUCAACUAGGAGACGAGCCCUAGCUGGUCUGAGAGGCGGAUCAGCCACACUGGGACUGAGACACGGCCCAGACUCCUACGGGAGGCAGCAGUGGGGAAUAUUGCACAAUGGGCGAAAGCCUGAUGCAGCCAUGCCGCGUGUAUGAAGAAGGCGUUAGGGUUGUAAAGUACUUUCAGCGGGGAGGCGUUACCCGCAGAAGAAGCAACGGCUAACUCCGUGCCAGCAGCCGCGGUAAUUC